UGAGUGAUUGACAGUCAGUUGGAAAGACUACGUGGACGAUGCGGUGGCAAGGAAAUUCGCUCUUCGUUGAGAGAAAAGAAAUCCAGGCUGAAACCCGUCGACGAAAGCUGGAUUCAAUGGUCGUGAAUUGUACCUUGUGAUGAUGGAGAAAUGUUACCAUUUUGCAUGCAAAUAGAAAAUCUAAAAUGAAAUUCAAACCACACAUUUUAUAAAAUCAAAAUAAACCAGAUAUUU